ensembl:lncRNA novel transcript, antisense to SPTBN5
CAGUGGCCUGGCGCAGGAAAGGUGACCCAGUAGUUCAGCCUGUCCCAGCUGCCUGCCCCAGCACCAUCCCAGACCCCUUUCCCUGGGGCCCACCUUGGCCCUGAGGAAGGCCAGAGCUCGGCUGCUGUUCUCCAGGAAGUGCACACGCAGGCGGCCCCGGCUCGGGGGUGGCAGGGCCUCCCCUGAGAUGAGCUCCAGCAGCCGCAGGAGGUGGAUGCCGUCAGCCAGCUCUGUGUACAGGUUCCGGAUCUUGAUGCCCGCCUGGGGAGGGGACAGGGGUAAGUAUGGGGUCAGCCCAGCCUCACCUGUCCUCCCAUCCUGGGACCUGAGAGGUACGACCCAGAGCAGCUGCUUUGGAAGAAGGAGCUCUGGCCUCAGCUUGGCCUCAGGCAGAUGACCCCACAGCUCACCCCGGAGGCCCACUGGCCAGAGCUGGGGGCCUGGUAUGGGUGGGCUGUGGGUCACAGCUGGCUAUACUCACCUGGCCGCACUGGAAGACGUUAUUGAUCCACUUGGUGAAAGUCUUCUCCUGCAUCUGCAUGUGCCGGGCCUGUAGCUUGCGAAUGUGGCCCGUCUCGUACUGAGAGUCCAUGGUGAGACUUGGACUGGGCGGGACCCGGAGUUCUGUGCUGGGCCUCCUGCUGCGGUGCCCUGCAGCCCCGAGGAGCUCCCGGGGACUGUGGGGCUGACCAGCCAUCAGCCCUGCAGACUUUGGGGAUGAGGAGCUGCUGGAUGGCUCCCUAAACCUGGAGGGCAUGCAGAUUAGGGGAUGAUGUGAAUGGAGAUGGCCCCUCUACCAGGGGCCUGGGGUCCCGCCUUGCCAGACUGUCCUCACAUUUCAUGGGGGUUGCAGCUUGGAGCCCAGCCAGGUAAGGGCCAGUGCUUCUGGUCCCCUGUGCUUGAAUGGCCCAGGGCCCCCUUUGCCCCACCCCACCUUCCAGAUUCUUCUUCUCAGAGCCCCUGCUGCCAGGUCCCUCCACCACAGUGACUGGGACAGGUGGAAGGAAGACAGGAAACUGCUUACCUUGGUGAUGCCUGGGUCCCACAGAGACGGCUCUGCUGGACGGAUGGAGAUGGUAGAUAGCAGGGGCUGCUUACCUUGGUGAUGCCUGGGUUCCACAGAGGCGGCCCAGCUGGACGGAUGGAGAUGGCAGAUAGCAGGGGCUGUGGAGGGAGGGAGAGGGACAUCAGGAGAGGCCAAGGCUGGAGCAGGGCUGCACCACAGCCCUCCCCUUGAGCCAGCGUGCUGGGGUGACGGCACACAGGCGGCAUUGUCCUCCCACCUGCCACAGGGCGUGGCCCAGACAGGGAGGGGGUGGUUCAGGAAUGCUCCAGGGCCAUUGCCAGAUGAUGUCCUCCUUCAUCAUCCUCCCUUCCCCGCCAGCAACUUCUCCAACUCCAGGUGGGGGUCCUGGCUCCCAGGACGCAGAGGCCCAUGGAGCGGCCCUGCCACCGCAUGGGGUGCUGCAGUCUGCGUAGGAGGUACCAAAGGGCAGAGCCUCUGUGGGAAGCCUGUGGACGCACUUCCCAAUCUGAGACUGCCCUCUGUACCCUCUUGGGGCCUCUCUGUGAGCACCCAGGGCGAGGGGAUGAGGGAGCGUCCUGGGCCGUGGUCUUCUCAUUCACCCCCAGGGAACAGCCCAUAGACUGAGGGCCUCACAGACCCUGGGCUUGGCUUUCCAGGCCCUGCCAGAGUGCAGCCUGCCUAGCCCGGGGCUGAAGGGUAGGCUCCCUGGAGGAAGGGGUGACCUGGAACUGCGAGGGCUGUGGAGUCUCCUCCAAAAUUAGAGACACGGUGUUAACUCUGGGCUCCACAGAGCUGGCCGUGGCCCGGGGCUCGGAGGCAGGGGUGCAGAGGGAGCUGGUGGGCGCCCAUCCCUUCCUCCCCGAGCAGCCGUGGACUACAUGCCAGAGUGAAGGCGAGUUCUAAUUCUGGGGGUCUCACCCGCCUCUGGCUAAACUCAGGGUAGCAGUGUGGGCUGGGGUGUGUGUGUGUGGGUGUCUUCCAGCGGCCCUGGAGCCUCUGAAGCGACAGCCCGCUCCUCAGGGAGGCGCUCCUGGCAGCCACAGCCCACAGCAGGACAGCCGCUCAGCGCGCCCUUGAGAGCUGGGCUAGGGAUGAGUCACACUUGAACCGCCUGGGCCCACUGCAGGCAGUCAGGGGUGACGCUGAGAGGUGCCGUGGUCUCGGGUGGGGUGCGGCUUCCUGCGUCUGAGAGACGCUUCCUCUCCUGCUGUCCUCUCCCUGCCAGGCCCCUUCUGCAGCGGCUGGCUUCCAGACACCCUGCGUCCCUCCCUUGCUCGCAGCAGUUGCUGUGGCGGUCCUCCCGUGCACCCCCCCUUCUGCCCUCACUGCCCCUGGGGGUCCUCAUCACGGACCCCCUAACUCGGCAUCCUGGACACCACCACCCCGCACCUUUCCACAGUGCAGCUCUGCUCGUGCCUGUGAAGCCUCCCACAGCCUGGGAAGGAAAAUCCAGACUUGCCAGACCUUGCCUCAGCCAGGCCUUGGAAGCCUGCCAGCUUACCUAACCAGGCUAGUCUGCCCCCCUCACUCUGGGUGCUCUCCAUGGGCCACUCACCAUUUCCUGAGCAGGACCAGAGCUCUCCUGCCCCAAGGCUGGGCUUCAGCUGCUCUUUCAGCUUUGAACGUCCUUUCCCAUUCUCCAUCAUCCACAUUCACCUAUCCUGCCUGCCCCAGUUAAAAUCCUGUUUCUUCUAGGAAGUCCCUCAUCCCACCCGCUUACCCCAGGGAGACUGAGCUUGUUCCUUCUCCUAGUAAGACCCUCAGCCCAUGGAGUCCUGUGUGAUGUUGUGAGCGUGGGAGGACAGACUGAACUGCUCGGCCCGUGGAGUCCUGUGUGAUGUUGUGAGCGGGGAGGACAGACUGAACUGCGUGGUGCUUCGCACAUAGACCUCAACAGGGAUUGGCAUUUUGAAGCUGUUGGCGGGGGCUGUGGACUGCUUUUCUUCCUUUCUAGCUCAACGGCAGCUAAAGCCACUGCAUACAAUGCAAGGACUGGCUCCUGUUUGGCCACGACUGAUUGCAGCCCCUGGUGAAAUGAGAACCCUGUGGGUCGGAACAAAGUUUGGAUUAUUUAUGUUGCAAGUAACUAAAAUCUCAAGUGAAACUGGUUUAAACAUUAUAUUUUUAUUAUUUAUUUAUUUAUAUUUAAUUCUUUUUUAGAGACAGGGUCUUCUUAGGUUGCCCAGGCUGGUCUUGAACUCCUGGCCUCAACGAUCUUCCCACUUCAGCCUCCUGCAUUGCUGGGAUUAUAGGUGUGAGCCACCAUGCCUGGCUUACACAGUAUAAAGGGAAUGCAUUGGCCCACACAGUGGAAAAAAAUAUCUAGUAGGAAUAGGAAGGACUUCAGGUGAGGUUUGAUCCAGCAGCUCAAAUGUUGUCACCACAGGCCUGGAUUCCUCUGGCCUUUCUCAAGGUCUCUUUCAUUUUCAUGCUCCACAAGAUGGCUUCUGCCAGGCUGACCUCCCUCCCCUGACCCCAGCAGCUCUGGACACCCCUCUCAGUGCCAUUUAUAUUGUUGCAUCAAUAGGCUCAUUUCUAUAUACUGCAAGGUUCAGAGAAGACAGAGUAUCUCUCUCAAGAGUUCUAACAUAAGUCUGGGGGUCCUGGCUCUCAUAGGCUUGAACAGGGCCACAUGUCCAUUCCUGAGCCAAUAUUUGUGACCAAGGGGAUGUGGUCAAUCUCAUCCAAACCUCACUUGAAGUGAGGGUGGGAGGAGGAGUGCUCUGCAAGGAGACUGUAGGUCUGGACCACCAAAAAGGUAGAUGGGUUGGUGGGAAAAGCCAGAUGCCUACUAUGGUAGUGGGCGGGGGGAGGGCACACUGGCAAGGUACAGCAAGAGGCAGGGGCAGUGCUGGACAGGCAGGGGCUCCUCCCUAGCACGACUGGAGAAAGGACUCCUGUGAAGCGGUCACCUCCAUGAGUCCCUCCUGUCCUGGCUUCCAACCACUCUGAAGUGGGGCUUUUGUCCACAGACCUGGCCUCUGCUGCCUACCCUCUUCUGUCCCCACCUGAUGGGGCCGCUUUCCUUCUGAAGCGGCUGCAUUUUGGGUUUCUCUCCACAGGAAGAGUUGGGGCUCACAGGCACACCCUCUCCCUAACUCUUCUCCCCCGGUUCAACCUGGAUCCAGGGAUCCACACUCUGCUCCGAGAGGCCAGCACGCAGCCACUGGAAAAUGAGCCAGUGGGAGAGGGCAGCUCCAUGUUUAUUGAUCAGCAGACUAUGUCUUUUUGUUUGAAACUUCUAAAUAAGAUUACAAAAAGAAAAAAAAUAGAAGCAUUGCGUAUUAACUGCAUUGGUUAACCAACAUUGGAACCCAAUACUCUUGUAUUAGGCCCGCAUUUACCUGAGUAAACUCAGUGGUUUUCUGUCCUAAGCAUGCUUGCCUGCUACAUCCCAUGGAGAAAAUAAACAGUGAAACACUUUCCUCAUCUUCAAGGCAAUUGUCUCAGGCAUCCUCCAGGCAUCAUGAAGGAGGGUGAGCGAGGGUGCGAGGUGGAAAGGUCCAGGCCGCGGCUGUGACUCCCGCGGGUGAACCACAGCUCCACAGCCCCAAAUCCAAAGAUGCUCUUGCUGCAGCACGACAAGUGUUCAAAAGAGAACCAGGCCCAGCCCGGAGAAAGGAAAGCCAAAAGCCAACUGAAUGAAUGACCCUCCCCCAGAAGAGCAACCCUGCCCCCAGGCCAUCCAAGUGCGAACAUUACCAGGUGCCAGCAGGGAAAGGACUCCGCUGCCUGACGCCUCUCCCACCUGAGAGCGCAGAGGUAGGGAGAUCACAGUGCCUGAGAGGUUUUCCUCCACGGAGAAAUCAGAGACCUCAACCUGCUGCCCUCUAAAGCAGCUUUCUGUAUCCAGACAAAACUUACAUAUGUACACGUUGUUUUAAAACGACAUACUCAUGUGACACACAUGUAUAUAAAUUCAUGUUUAUAUAUGACAAUUGAGGAGAGUUAAAGAACAAGAUAAUUCUGGAUGGAAAAAUCAGUUUGCCUGGGCAUCUGUAAACCUUUGGGCAAGUGAAUUCCCUCUUCUCUCUCAGUUCACCCUUUGGUGACCUCCACCGUGGCUGCAGACUUCAGGUGGUCCUCACGCAUUCACAGAACUGUCUGCUUAGGUUACAGCACUUUGGGAGGCCGAGGUGGGUAGAUCACGAGGUCAGGAGAUCGAGACCAUAUUGACCAACAUGGUAAAACCCCAUCUCUACUAAAAUACAAAAAUUAGCCGGGCGUGGUGGCGGGUGCCUGUAGUCCCAGCUACUUGGGAGGCUGAGGCAGGGGAAUCACUUGAACCUGGGAGGCGGAGGUUGCAGUGAACUGAGAUUGCGCCACUGCACUCCAGCCUGGGUGACAGAGACUUCCUCUCAAAAUAAAAAUAAAAAUAAUAAAAUAAUAAAUGGUUCUUUUCUAUGCGUCUAAUGAAUUUAAGUGCUUGUUAAGACUAAAAACCAUGUUAUGCAUUUCCUGCUCUUAAAACUAAAUUAUGUAGAAAGUAAGCUAGGGAGUGUAAGGGUAGGCAUCUGGAUAUAAAUGCUUCUCCCAAAUCAAGAUUUUCUCUUCAAUCUGUGCCUUUGACCCUGUCACCAAAGGCAGGUGACAGAAAAAAAAAAUUAUGUGCCUUUUGGAAGACUCAGUGGGACGGUUCUGAUUUCAUUCACUUCUGGUGCCAGCAGGCCCCCAUACCAUGUGGCCAUUGCUGUUUCGUGUCUCUUCCUGCAUAAAUAAUGCAGAGAGGCCAUGCAGGUAUGCAAUUUUCUGGAGAUGAGGCAGGGAGAUUUGCAAGGAAAAGUCACCUACCUCCCCAAGCUGGUGCCCACAGAGGGGGAGGCACCUCCACCUGACGCAGGUGUCUGAGCAGCAGUCCAGAGAGGUUUACUCAGGGGAUUUGGGGAGCGCACACUCUGGAGCAGAAGUACAGGUAUGUGCCCGAAUCCUGCCUCGUGAUGGGCAUUCAUGAUACGAACCACACAGCCUUUAAAGAAAAGGUUUUAUAUGAAAGGUUCCAUUUUGUUUCUGUAUAAAGGCUUUUAUCCUGUAAGGAAAAAAAAAAAACACAAAACCC